GAUGAACGCUGGCGGCGUGCUUAACACAUGCAAGUCGAACGGAACUAUUCUUGAUUGAGGCUUCGGCCAAUUGAAGGUUUAGUUUAGUGGCGGACGGGUGAGUAACGCGUGAGCAACCUGCCUUUCAGAGGGGGACAACAGCUGGAAACGGCUGCUAAUACCGCAUAUUGUGUAGAGAUCGCAUGGUUUUUACAUGAAAGAUUUAUCGCUGAAAGAUGGGCUCGCGUCUGAUUAGCUAGUUGGUUAGGUAAUGGCUCACCAAGGCAACGAUCAGUAGCCGGACUGAGAGGUUGAUCGGCCACAUAGGGACUGAGAUGCGGUCCAGACUCGUACGGGAGGCAGCAGUGGGGAAUAUUGGACAAAGGGCGAAAGCCUGAUCCAGCCAUGCCGCAUGAGUGAAGAAGGCCUUUGGGUUUGAAAGCUCUGUUAGUGAGGAAGAUAAUGACGGUACUCACAGAAGAAGUCCGGGCUAACUCCGUGCCAGCCGCCGCGGUAAAAC
rnacentral:rRNA from 1 species